ACGCUGGCGGCACGCCUAACACAUGCAAGUCGAACGCAGUAGCAAUACUGAGUGGCGAACGGGUGAGUAUAAUGUGGGUAUCUGCCUUUUGGUUUGGAAUAACACGAGGAAACUUGUGCUAAUACCGGAUAAGCCCUUACGGGGAAAGUUUUAACGCCAAUAGAUGAGCCCGCACUUGAUUAGCUAGUUGGUAGGGUAAUGGCCUACCAAGGCAACGAUCAAUAGCUGAUCUGAGAGGAUGAUCAGCCACAUUGGGACUGAGACACGGCCCAAACUCCUACGGGAGGCAGCAGUGGGGAAUCUUGCACAAUGGGGGAAACCCUGAUGCAGCGAUGCCGCGUGAGUGAAGAAGGCCCUUGGGUUGUAAAGCUCUUUCGUCGGGGAAGAAAAUGACUGUACCCGAAUAAGAAGGUCCGGCUAACUUCGUGCCAGCAGCCGCGGUAAUACGAAGGGACCUAGCGUAGUUCGGAAUUACUGGGCUUAAAGAGCACGUAGGUGGUUAGAAAAGUUAGUGGUGAAAUCCCAAGGCUUAACCUUGGAACUGCCACUAAAACUUUUUAACUAGAGUAUGAUAGAGGUGAGCGGAAUUUCUAGUGUAGAGGUGAAAUUCGUAGAUAUUAGAAAGAACACCAAUUGCGAAGGCAGCUUUCUGGAUCAUUACUGACACUGAGGUGCGAAAGCAUGGGUAGCGAAGAGGAUUAGAUACCCUCGUAGUCCAUGCUGUAAACGAUGUGUGCUAGACGUUGGAAAUUUAAUUUUCAGUGUCGCAGCAAAAGCGUUAAGCACACCGCCUGGGGAGUACGACCGCAAGGUUAAAACUCAAAUGAAAUGCGA
rnacentral:rRNA from 1 species